UACGAAGGGGGCUAGCGUUGCUCGGAAUCACUGGGCGUAAAGGGCGCGUAGGCGGCCGAUCAAGUCGGGGGUGAAAUCCCAGGGCUCAACCCUGGAAUUGCCUUCGAUACUGGUUGGCUCGAGAGUGGAAGAGGUAAGUGGAACUCCGAGUGUAGAGGUGAAAUUCGUAGAUAUUCGGAAGAACACCAGUGGCGAAGGCGGCUUACUGGUCCAUUUCUGACGCUGAGGCGCGAAAGCGUGGGGAGCAAACAGG
rnacentral:rRNA from 1 species